UAGCCUGAUAAUUUGCAGAGAUGCCUC
rnacentral:piRNA from 1 species